AACUCUGCUGAUAAGUGACUGAUUUUCCCUGCAAGGAUUGUCUUAUUUUAAACUUCAAAUUUAGUUGCCUUACUUUAUGCAAGGCAAUUUUGAAUGGAUUUUAAAGUGAGGAUGAAGACUAUUCACACUUUUCUAAACCUAGAAGGCAGAAGAAGCCAUAUUAUAAGUACUAGGAUAAUGUGAGAAAGCCUUUCUUAGAGCCUUUCCAGCAGAAGAGGAAGGAAGGAUUGCCAACAGUCACCGCUCAGAGAAUGUCUUUUCAUGAGAGGAGCCAGCCUUGGGACAAACCUGACUCCCAGAUGAGGUCAAAGCCAAGGAAACCUCAGGGAAGUGGAGCCCGAGGCCUGAGGACACUAAAGCACUAACCUGGUUUCCACUUGGGACUUUCCUCUCAGCCACUGUGUGGUCUUGGUGAGACUACAAACCAGGCCACCUGCCCUUCUCUAACCAGUGUGGGAACAUGACCCAAGACAAGCCACCGGACUCUGUCUAGACUUUAAGCUUUAAGCAAGGUGAGAAUCAACGAUAAAUAAAAGUACAGU